UACGUAGGGGGCAAGCGUUGUCCGGAAUCAUUGGGCGUAAAGCGCGUGUAGGCGGUCCGGUAAGUCCGCUGUGAAAGUCGGGGGCUUAACCCUCGGAUGCCGGUGGAUACUGUCGGGCUUGAGUACGGAAGAGGCGAGUGGAAUUCCUGGUGUAGCGGUGGAAUGCGCAGAUAUCAGGAGGAACACCAAUAGCGAAGGCAGCUCGCUGGGACGUUACUGACACUGAGGCGCGAAAGCGUGGGGAGCGAACAGG
rnacentral:rRNA from 1 species